AGGUGACCGUGAUGGGCGGCUCGCCGACGGCACGGCAGGUGAGCGCUACGCUCUCGCCUCGACGAACGGACGAAGGCGCCUCUCACCUUCCUGCCAUUUACGCCACCCUGCGGCCCCUUGAAGCAUGGCGUGCCCGAAGAGAGCAAAUCAGACGGGCAGAAAAAGCAGUCACGUGAAGAAGAGGGAUUUCUGGAUAAGUGGCGGGGCGAGUUUUAACAACGAGUAUGACUGAAAUAUUCCGGUGCUCUUAUGGGCUGCGCCACGACAAGUUUCCGUCGCCAUUUAUG